AAUGAACGUUGGCGGCGUGGAUUAGGCAUGCAAGUCGGACGGGCCGCAAGGCCAGUGGCGUAAGGGUGAGUAAGGCGACGGCAACCAUCCCCACGGUUGGGUAUAGCCGCGAGAAAUCGCGGGUAAUCCCCAGCGACGCGCGGCGUCGGCAUCGACGCCCCGCCAAAGGCUCGCCGCCGUGGGACGGGCCGUCGUGGUAUUAGGUCGUUGGCGGGGUAACGGCCCACCAAGCCUGCGAUGCCUACCGGGUGUGCGAGCAUGGCCCGGCACACAGGGACUGAGACACUGCCCAGACUCCUACGGGAGGCUGCAGUCGAGAAUCUUCGGCAAUGGGCGCAAGCCUGACCGAGCGACGCCGCGUGGAGGACGAAGGCCUUCGGGUUGUAAACUCCUGUCGAGGGGAAGGAAGGGGCCGCAAGGCCCUUGACCGCUCCCUGGAGGAAGCACGGGCUAAGUUCGUGCCAGCCGCCGCAGUAACAC
rnacentral:rRNA from 1 species